rnacentral:rRNA from 1 species
GGUUGGUACUUGUACCGACUGGAUGAGCAGCGAACGGGUGAGUAACGCGUGGGGAAUCUGCCUUUGAGCGGGGGACAACAUUUGGAAACGAAUGCUAAUACCGCAUAAAAACUUUAAACACAAGUUUUAAGUUUGAAAGAUGCAAUUGCAUCACUCAAAGAUGAUCCCGCGUUGUAUUAGCUAGUUGGUGAGGUAAAGGCUCACCAAGGCGAUGAUACAUAGCCGACCUGAGAGGGUGAUCGGCCACAUUGGGACUGAGACACGGCCCAAACUCCUACGGGAGGCAGCAGUAGGGAAUCUUCGGCAAUGGACGAAAGUCUGACCGAGCAACGCCGCGUGAGUGAAGAAGGUUUUCGGAUCGUAAAACUCUGUUGGUAGAGAAGAACGUUGGUGAGAGUGGAAAGCUCAUCAAGUGACGGUAACUACCCAGAAAGGGACGGCUAACUACGUGCCAGCAGCCGCGGUAAUACGUAGGUCCCGAGCGUUGUCCGGAUUUAUUGGGCGUAAAGCGAGCGCAGGUGGUUUAUUAAGUCUGGUGUAAAAGGCAGUGGCUCAACCAUUGUAUGCAUUGGAAACUGGUAGACUUGAGUGCAGGAGAGGAGAGUGGAAUUCCAUGUGUAGCGGUGAAAUGCGUAGAUAUAUGGAGGAACACCGGUGGCGAAAGCGGCUCUCUGGCCUGUAACUGACACUGAGGCUCGAAAGCGUGGGGGAGCAAACAGGAUUAGAUACCCUGGUAGUCCACGCCGUAAACGAUGAGUGCUAGAUGUAGGGAGCUAUAAGUUCUCUGUAUCGCAGCUAACGCAAUAAGCACUCCGCCUGGGGAGUACGACCGCAAGGUUGAAACUCAAAGGAAUUGACGGGGGCCCGCACAAGCGGUGGAGCAUGUGGUUUAAUUCGAAGCAACGCGAAGAACCUUACCAGGUCUUGACAUACUCGUGCUAUUCCUAGAGAUAGGAAGUUCCUUCGGGACACGGGAUACAGGUGGUGCAUGGUUGUCGUCAGCUCGUGUCGUGAGAUGUUGGGUUAAGUCCCGCAACGAGCGCAACCCCUAUUGUUAGUUGCCAUCAUUAAGUUGGGCACUCUAACGAGACUGCCGGUGAUAAACCGGAGGAAGGUGGGGAUGACGUCAAAUCAUCAUGCCCCUUAUGACCUGGGCUACACACGUGCUACAAUGGAUGGUACAACGAGUCGCGAGACAGUGAUGUUUAGCUAAUCUCUUAAAACCAUUCUCAGUUCGGAUUGUAGGCUGCAACUCGCCUACAUGAAGUCGGAAUCGCUAGUAAUCGCGGAUCAGCACGCCGCGGUGAAUACGUUCCCGGGCCUUGUACACACCGCCCGUCACACCACGGGAGUUGGGAGUACCCGAAGUAGGUUGCCUAACCGCAAGGAGGC